rnacentral:rRNA from 1 species
CUACGGGAUGCACCAGUGGGGAAUAUUGCACAAUGGGCGCAAGCCUGAUGCAGCCAUGCCGCGUGUAUGAAGAAGGCCUUCGGGUUGUAAAGUACUUUCAGCGGGGAGGAAGGGAGUAAAGUUAAUACCUUUGCUCAUUGACGUUACCCGCAGAAGAAGCACCGGCUAACUCCGUGCCAGCAGCCGCGGUAAUACGGAGGGUGCAAGCGUUAAUCGGAAUUACUGGGCGUAAAGCGCACGCAGGCGGUUUGUUAAGUCAGAUGUGAAAUCCCCGGGCUCAACCUGGGAACGGCAUCUGAUAAGGGCAAGCUUGAGUCUCGUAGGGGGGGGUAGAAUUCCAGGUGUAGCGGUGAAAUGCGUAGAGAUCUGGAGGAAUACCGGUGGCGAAGGCGGCCCCCUGGACGAAGACUGACGCUCAGGUGCGAAAGCGUGGGGAGCAAACAGGAUUAGAUACCCCCGUAGUC